UAAGUAGUCUGCAGUUGCUCCCUGGGAGGAGGCAAUUUAAGCUGGUAAAUCUGGGGGAGCUAGAAGAUGUAGGAAGAAAUCCAGGGAAAGAGCAAUAGGGUCUGGGAGAAAACAGACUGCAGUUGUGAGACAUAGGGUCCCUGGACUGGAACCCUGAGUAGAGGGUGGGCCUGGGGGGUUCCCCUAUCUGACACUGGAGAAGUGGCACAGACCGGGCAAUGGAGCUGCCUGGGGCAGUCGUCUGAUAGGAUUCUGCUAAGGGAGGACUAUAGUGACCUGGCUGGGGGGCCAACCCAGAGAGAGAGAGGUGGCAGAGCGUGCGAACAAGCACCAGAAGACGGUGUUGGACAUGGAAGGAGCUAAUCCCCAAAGCAGCCAGAAGGAGGUGCCCUAGCGAUCUUUUACAGAGAAUUGACCUGACCAAAGCAAUCAAUAGUGAUGUGACUGCAAGAAUGGAUGGGCUUCUGAAGUCUUUUCACCAGACUCUACUGAAAUGGGCUGCAGAGAUGCUGAUGCCAGUAGAGGAUGCUGGACCAGCAGAACCCAUCUUGCAAAUAGAAGAUUAGCCAGGGGGAGUAGAAGGGAACUGGAGAGUUCCCAGCAGCUGCAGUUCUCAGCGUGCCCUGAAGGAAGAAGGUGGUGUCAUGCAGGAAACUCCGUGCAAGCCCGGGACCCAGGCAGUUUCUCCCUCUGGUCCCUGGGCUCUAGGAGGGU